UACGUAGGGUGCGAGCGUUGUCCGGAUUCAUUGGGCGUAAAGAGCGUGUAGGCGGCCAGGUAGGUCGGUUGUGAAAACUGGAGGCUCAACCUUCAGAGGUCGACCGAAACCAUCUGGCUAGAGUCCGGGAGAGGAGAGUGGAAUUCCUGGUGUAGCGGUGAAAUGCGCAGAUAUCAGGAAGAACACCCGUGGCGAAGGCGGCUCUCUGGGACGGUACUGACGCUGAGACGCGAAAGCGUGGGAGCGAAGCAGG
rnacentral:rRNA from 1 species